ACGUCGGUGGCCGAGUGGUAAAGCUUCGCCUUUGAACCAAAAUGUACCGGCUUCGAGUUCCGACCGGGUA